GAUGAAGAACGUAGCGAAAUGCGAUAAGUAAUGUGAAUUGCAGAAUUCAGUGAAUCAUCGAAUCUUUGAACGCACAUUGCGCCCGCCAGCAUUCUGGCGGGCAUGCCUGUUCGAGCGUCAUUUCAACCCUCGAGCCCCCCCGGGGGCCUCGGUGUUGGGGGACGGCACACCAGCCGCCCCCGAAAUGCAGUGGCGACCCCGCCGCAGCCUCCCCUGCGUCGUAGCACACACCUCGCACCGGAGCGCGGAGGCGGUCACGCCGUAAAACGCCCAACUUUCUUAGAGUUGACCUCGGAUCAGGUAGGAAUACCCGCUGAACUUAAGCAUAUCAAUAAGCGGAGGA
rnacentral:misc_RNA from 1 species